CAUAGUCCUGAAGCAGAUCAUCUGCUUUCUGAUGAAAAUAUCAUCAGAAGACCAAUAGGAACCAAGUGCUACCUCACAAUGCCUACAUGAUUUCCUCACUUCAUCUCAUCACAUAGACAUUUUGUCAUCUCAAAUCAUCACAAGAAGGGUCCCAAGAUAAAGAAUACCUCCCAAUACUGUUAAAUAUAGAUAUCUGGACUGAAUUGAACUUAUAUGACAAUUGCAGUCAAGAUUCUGGAACUCAGAAUAGGCAAACCAGAACACGUUUCUCACUUCUGAGACAUGGCUGUUUUUGCUCAGAUCAAGGAAAUAGGAACUCGUGGAGCUCCACACUCAAUACAUUAAAAACAUCAGAAAUGAGUCAGUUUAGUUUGUUUUGAUAUAUACAUUUGGCUA